rnacentral:rRNA from 1 species
CAGCGCCCCAAGUGGCAAUCGUUUUUAUUGGGCCUAAAGCGUUCGUAGCCGGAUUGGCAAAUCUUUUGUGAAAUCGCUCAGCUUAACUGAGUGGCGUGCAGAAGACACUACCAAUCUAGGGACCGGGAGGAGUCAGAAGUAUUCUGUGGGGAGCGGUAAAAUGUUAUAAUCCUCGGAAGACUACCUGUGGCGAAGGCGUCUGACUAGAACGGAUCCGACGGUGAGGAACGAAGGCUAGGGGAGCAAACCGGAUUAGAUACCCGAGUAGUCC